rnacentral:rRNA from 1 species
UCGGGGCUUGAGACCGGCGCACGGGUGCGUAACGCGUAUGCAAUCUGCCUUCCACAGAGGGAUAGCCCAGAGAAAUUUGGAUUAAUACCUCAUAGCAUCAUGACCCGGCAUCGGGAUAUGAUUAAAGUCACAACGGUGGAAGAUGAGCAUGCGUCCCAUUAGCUAGUUGGUAAGGUAACGGCUUACCAAGGCUACGAUGGGUAGGGGUCCUGAGAGGGAGAUCCCCCACACUGGUACUGAGACACGGACCAGACUCCUACGGGAGGCAGCAGUGAGGAAUAUUGGUCAAUGGGCGCAAGCCUGAACCAGCCAUGCCGCGUGCAGGAUGACGGUCCUAUGGAUUGUAAACUGCUUUUGUACGGGAAGAAACCCUCCUACGUGUAGGAGCUUGACGGUACCGUAAGAAUAAGGAUCGGCUAACUCCGUGCCAGCAGCCGCGGUAAUACGGAGGAUCCAAGCGUUAUCCGGAAUCAUUGGGUUUAAAGGGUCUGUAGGCGGUCUUGUAAGUCAGUGGUGAAAGCCCAUCGCUCAACGGUGGAACGGCCAUUGAUACUGCUGGACUUGAAUUAUUGGGAAGCAACUAGAAUAUGUAGUGUAGCGGUGAAAUGCUUAGAGAUUACAUGGAAUACCAAUUGCGAAGGCAGGUUGCUACCAAUGGAUUGACGCUGAUGGACGAAAGCGUGGGUAGCGAACAGGAUUAGAUACCCUGGUAGUCCACGCCGUAAACGAUGGAUACUAGCUGUUGGGCGCAAGUUCAGUGGCUAAGCGAAAGUGAUAAGUAUCCCACCUGGGGAGUACGAACGCAAGUUUGAAACUCAAAGGAAUU